UUGCGUGGCUUGCUCAUAAAU
rnacentral:misc_RNA from 1 species